ensembl:lncRNA
GGAACGUAACGUCAUGAAAUGCCAAGAUUUCAAAGGCUCUCAGGAUUCAUCUGCUGCAACUCAUGACAUAAUUAGUGCAGCACAGAGAUCAAAAGAAUGGCUUGCAUCUCCCCAACUUCGGUAUCCAACUUCUCACUGAACUUCUUCAAACACUUACAGAAACCUCAAAGUCAACAUGUGCUAAGUUCAAAUCUUGAUUUUUUCCUCCAGGGACAUGUCUCCUGCACGGCUCUGUCUCCAAGUGAUGCUACCUUGCAUCCAGAUGCAGAAACCAGAAGCCAGCACCACCCUAAACCAAUCUUUCAUCAUCUCUUGCCAGGAGGCACCGAGUGAGAAUGUGCAGGUCAGCUGGUUAAAAUAAUUCAUGAUACAGAGUUCCUUUACCACUGAAGUGUCUGCGAGAAGAGCCACCAAAGGAUCCAAGAAAACAUUCCUACAGGGUCAGUCUGUGUAUGCAAGACAUUCUUAAAUCUUUUAAAUGAGUGUUUGAUAUAUUGUCUUAAUAAUAAAUUUAUUUGUCUAUACCUUACUUCCAAAAAUGAUUUGCAGUGGAUUUA